GUCGCAAAAGGCCAAAUAAUCGAUUACUAGUAUGCCUAAUAUUGCCAGAAGGCCCUUCUUCCCCCUAUGUUUGACUCAUCCUAUAUGGGUUCACACCUGUUGAUUCCGGUCAAAGAAAAAAGCUUUUUCACGGCAUCCGUCCCAUCACACCAAUCUACGCCAAGAUAAAGAAUGCUGGGUUGCCAGGAACAAACCCUGUGAUUCAAGGUCUUGCCUAGAAUUGCCUUAACUUAAUUGAAUAAGUAGGAAGACUCUGGCAUUUCCAAAACCCUUUGACAAAGAAAGACUCUCGCUUACGGAUUCGAGAGUUCUUGCCUCCUUUUGAACAUCUUCCCUUAGCUUUUGCCAUCUUUCAAAAAAUCCCUUGACAGCCUGUGGGUUCUUUGUUUUGUCUAGUCUUCAUACCUGUCUCUAAGGCA
rnacentral:lncRNA from 1 species